AUACGGAGGAUCCGAGCGUUAUCCGGAUUUAUUGGGUUUAAAGGGAGCGUAGGUGGAUUGUUAAGUCAGUUGUGAAAGUUUGCGGCUCAACCGUAAAAUUGCAGUUGAAACUGGGUGUCUUGAGUACAGUAGAGGUGGGCGGAAUUCGUGGUGUAGCGGUGAAAUGCUUAGAUAUCACGAAGAACUCCGAUUGCGAAGGCAGCUCACUAGACUGUUACUGACACUGAUGCUCGAAAGUGUGGGUAUCAAACAGGAUUAGAUACCCUGGUAGUCCACACAGUAAACGAUGAAUACUCGCUGUUUGCGAUAUACAGUAAGCGGCCAAGCGAAAGCAUUAAGUAUUCCACCUGGGGAGUACGCCGGCAACGGUGAAACUCAAAGGAAUUGACGGGG
rnacentral:rRNA from 1 species